GCCGUAAUCGUCUAGUGGUUAGGACAUCAGUUUGUGGUCUUUAGUAUCACUGGAAACCGAGGUUCGAUUCCUCGUUACGGCA